rnacentral:lncRNA from 1 species
CUUCGUUACUCAGGAGAAAAAAAGAGGGAGAGAGAGAGAGAAAAUCAAGUCGCAGCCGGCUUGGCCCGGUGUUGGGGGCGGUCGCGCGGAACGGUGAGGCUGUGAGAACUUCCCCAGCUGCUGACUGAAGUGGGAAGUGAGGUGUGAACUGAGACCCCGGGAGAGAGGCCCUCCGGGUAGGACCUGGCCUCGGACUGGCGGCGUAAAGGGUGGCCUUGCCACCGACUGAGAGUGGUUGAGCUGGCCUCUGGCCGAGUGUGGGGAGAGAGGCUUCACUUCUUUGUACACAUGUGCAGAGGCUAUGAAGUCCAGGAUUAAGGUGCUGGCCAAUUCAGUUUCUGGUGAAGACUCUUCUGGAGUUGCAGACUUCUGAGUUUAUCUUCAAAUGGCCUUUCCCCAGUGGGCGUAUGUGGGGAGAGGGGAGAGCCAUCCUGCCUGAAACUCAGGAAACACAAGGUCCCUGGUUGUGUAAUAUGAGUACACUUGAAAGUUCCUCGUCCUUAUCUGGCAACCCAGAUGGAUAAAUACUGGCCCUGAAGAUGCUUUUCUUAAAACUGAGCACAAGUGGCUGCAGAACAGAGCUUGGGAAGAACCAGUUAUUCUUCUGCCAGUUCAAAACUGGGGGCCCCUUCCCUCUAGCAUUCAUCCUCUGCUUGCCGGGGCAUAUCAAUUUCACCCAAAUCACGUGGACUAAGGUGGUGAUGGUGGGCUGUGGUAGGUAUGAUUUCCCCAAAGAAAAUUCAGAUGAAGUCACCAGAGGGAAGAAGGAAGAAUGGAUGUUUAUGCAAAAGACGCAGAUGUCCACAACAAUUCCCACAUGGGAAGAGAAUAAUCCAGGUUUAAGAGCCCUGGCUUGGGACCCCAGUGUCUGGGGAUGGAGUCCCAGCUCUACCAUUUACAAAUUGUGUGACCAUGGCUGGAUCAUGUCACCAGUCAGUAUGGGUCUGUGUCCCCAUUAACAAAUGGGAGUGAUGGUCCAGCAUUGUGGGCCUGAAUCAGAGUGACAGCACAUUGCAAAGGCACCAUGUAAGCUCCAGCAGGUGUGUCACAGCUACUUGUGGUGUCAUGAAAUCUGAAGUCUCUGAUCCAGUGAAUCAGCUUCUGAAUAUUUAAUCAAAGGAAAUUAAAACACUAACUCAGGAGUUCCCAUCAUGGUGCAGUGGUUAACGGAUCCGACUAGGAACCAUAAGGUUGCGAGUUCGAUCCCUGGCCUUGCUCAGUGGGUCGAGGAUCCAGCAUUGCCGUGAGCUGUGGUGUAAGUUGCAGACACGGCUGGGAUCCUGCGUUGCUGUGGCUCUGGCGUAGGCCGGUGGCUAUAGCUCCAAUUAGACCCCUAGCCUGGGAAUCUCCAUAUGCCGCUGGAGCGGCCCUAGAAAAAGGCAAAAAGACAAAACAAACAAACAAACAAACAAAAAAACACUAACUCAAAAAGGUAUCUGUACCCCCAUGUUCAUUGAAGCAUUAUUUACAAUAGCCAGGAUAUGCAAACAACCUAAGUGUCUAUUGAUGGAUGAAUCAAUAAAGAAAUGUGGUGUGUAUAUGUAAUGGAAUAUACUUCAGCCAUAGGAAAGAAUAAAAUUCUGCCAUUUUGCAACAACAUGGAUGAACCUUGAGGGCAUUAUGCUAAAUGAAAUGUCAGACAGAGAAAGACAAAUACCAUAUGAUCUUACUCAUAUAUGAAAUUAAAAAGAAAAACUAAGGUCAUAAAUACAAAAAGUAGAUUGGUGGUUGCCAAAGAUGGGGGGAUAGGAGAAUGGGCGAAAUGACUGAAGGGGGUCAAAAGGUAUAGACUUUCAGUUAUAAGAUAAAUAAGUCCUGGGAUAUAAUGUACAGCAUGGUGACUGUAGUUAACACUGUAUUGCACAUUUUAAUGUUUCUAAGAGAGUGGAUCUUAAAAAUUCAUCACAAGAGAAAAAAUUUAUAACUAUGUAUGGUAACAGAUAUUAACUACACUUAUUAUGGAGACCAUUUUUCAGUGUAUACAAAUAUUGAAUCAUGUUGUAUGCCUGAAAUUAUUAUAAUGUUAUAUGUCAAUUAUACCUAAAUAAAAAACAAAAUGAA